GACGAACGCUGGCGGCGUGCCUAACACAUGCAAGUCGAACGGAGUUAAGUGCUUCGGCGUUUAACUUAGUGGCGAACGGGUGAGUAACGCGUGAGAAACCUGCCUUUCAGUGGGGGAUAACAGUUAGAAACGACUGCUAAUACCGCAUGAUGCAUUCGAGGGGCAUCCCUUGAAUGCCAAAGAUUUAUCGCUGAAAGAUGGACUCGCGUCUGAUUAGCUAGUUGGUGAGGUAACGGCUCACCAAGGCGACGAUCAGUAGCCGGACUGAGAGGUUGAACGGCCACAUUGGGACUGAGAUACGGCCCAG
rnacentral:rRNA from 1 species